AAAGCUUUAAGUUAAUAAAACUAUUAACCUUCAAAGUUGAAAUUAAAUAUAAUUUAAGCUUUA
rnacentral:tRNA from 1 species